rnacentral:tRNA from 1 species
GAUGAUGUAGUUCAGUUGGUCAGAACAAUGGAAUCAUAAUCCAUGUGUCAGGGGUUCAAAUCCCUUCAUCGUCA